rnacentral:rRNA from 1 species
CGUAGGUGGCAAGCGUUGUCCGGAUUUAUUGGGUUUAAAGGGUGCGUAGGCGGCCCUGUAAGUCAGUGGUGAAAUAUCUCAGCUUAACUGAGAGGGUGCCAUUGAUACUGCAGGGCUUGAGUACAGAUGAGGUAGGCGGAAUUGACGGUGUAGCGGUGAAAUGCAUAGAUAUCGUCAAGAACACCGAUAGCGAAGGCAGCUUACCAAGCUGUAACUGACGCUGAGGCACGAAAGUGUGGGGAUCAAACAGGAUUAGAUACCCUGGUAGUCCACACUGUAAACGUUGAUGACUCGAUGUUGGCGAUACACAGCCAGCGUCCAAGAGCAAUCGUUAAGUCAUCCACCUGGGGAGUACGCCGGCAACGGUG